rnacentral:rRNA from 1 species
AGCGUAGGCGGUUUUUUAAGUGGGUUGUGAAAUCCCUGGGCUUAACCCAGGAAUUGCAAUCCAAACUGGAAGACUAGAGUGCAGGAGAGGAAAGUGGAAUUCCAAGUGUAGCGGUGAAAUGCGUAGAGAUUUGGAGGAACACCAGUGGCGAAGGCGACUUUCUGGACUGUAACUGACGCUGAGGCUCGAGAGCGUGGGGAGCAAACAGGAUUAGAUACCCUGGUAGUCCACGCUGUAAACGAUGAAUACUAGGUGUUGGGGGCGAAGCCCUCAGUGCCGCAGUUAACACAUUAAGUAUUCCGCCUGGGGAGUACGAUCGCAAGAUUAAAA